GCGACGGUGACAGAGCCUGGUCGAUCGUGCCCGCCUUGAGAGUGGGAGUGGUUCAGCACCACCGUAGGUUCAAAUCCUACCCGUCGCGCCA
rnacentral:tRNA from 1 species